AUUGAACGCUGGCGGCAGGCCUAACACAUGCAAGUCGAGCGGUAGAGAGGUGCUUGCAUCUCUUGAGAGCGGCGGACGGGUGAGUAAUGCCUAGGAAUCUGCCUAGUGGUGGGGGAUAACGUUCGGAAACGGACGCUAAUACCGCAUACGUCCUACGGGAGAAAGCGGGGGAUCUUCGGACCUCGCGCCAUUAGAUGAGCCUAGGUCGGAUUAGCUAGUUGGUGAGGUAAUGGCUCACCAAGGCGACGAUCCGUAACUGGUCUGAGAGGAUGAUCAGUCACACUGGAACUGAGACACGGUCCAGACUCCUACGGGAGGCAGCAGUGGGGAAUAUUGGACAAUGGGCGAAAGCCUGAUCCAGCCAUGCCGCGUGUGUGAAGAAGGUCUUCGGAUUGUAAAGCACUUUAAGUUGGGAGGAAGGGUAGUAACCUAAUACGUUGCUACUUUGACGUUACCGACAGAAUAAGCACCGGCUAACUUCGUGCCAGCAGCCG
rnacentral:rRNA from 1 species